GCGACGGUAGAGUAGUGGUUAACUCGCCUCCCUCCCACUUGAGAUAACCCCGGUUCUAGCUGCAAAGGGCCAGGAGGAGACUCGGGUUCAAACCCCGGCCGUCGCA